rnacentral:rRNA from 1 species
GACGAACGCUGGCGGCGUGCCUAAUACAUGCAAGUCGAGCGGAAUGAUGAAGAAGCUUGCUUCUUCUGAUUUUAGCGGCGGACGGGUGAGUAACACGUGGGCAACCUACCUUGUAGAUUGGGAUAACUCCGGGAAACCGGGGCUAAUACCGAAUAAUCCAUUUUGCUUCAUGGCGAGAUGUUGAAAGACGGUUUCGGCUGUCACUACAAGAUGGGCCCGCGGCGCAUUAGCUAGUUGGUAGGGUAAUGGCCUACCAAGGCGACGAUGCGUAGCCGACCUGAGAGGGUGAUCGGCCACACUGGAACUGAAACACGGCCCAGACUCCUACGGGAGGCAGCAGUAGGGAAUCUUCCACAAUGGACGAAAGUCUGAUGGAGCAACGCCGCGUGAGUGAAGAAGGUUUUCGGAUCGUAAAACUCUGUUGUAAGGGAAGAACACGUACGAGAGUAACUGCUCGUACCUUGACGGUACCUUAUUAGAAAGCCACGGCUAACUACGUG